GCCUUAGCGCGGUGGUCCCACCUGACCCCAUGCCGAACUCAGAAGUGAAACGCCGUAGCGCCGAUGGUAGUGUGGGGUUUCCCCAUGCGAGAGUAGGGAACUGCCAGGC
rnacentral:rRNA from 1 species